rnacentral:tRNA from 2 species
GCCGGUGUAGCUCAGUGGUAGAGCAGCUGAUUUGUAAUCAGCUGGUCGUAGGUUCAAAUCCUAUCACCGGCU